rnacentral:lncRNA from 1 species
UGGAAUGGGAGCUGGUUGCCUAAUUCACGCAAAUCAAAGCCAAAUUGAGUCUAAUUUGAAUUAUAUGAAUUCAAACUCCUAAUCACCUACAAAAUAGACUAGAGAGUAAUAAAUUUUAAUAAAAUAAUAUUAAUUAUUAUAAUAUUUAGUACUUUUAGUGACUUAAUUUAAGCGUUCAUCACCGACAGUCGUCGAUCUCAAUCG